rnacentral:rRNA from 1 species
AGUCGUAACAAGGUUUCCGUAGGUGAACCUGCGGAAGGAUCAUUAAAGAAAUUUAAUAAUUUUGAAAAUGGAUUUUUUUGUUUUGGCAAGAGCAUGAGAGCUUUUACUGGGCAAGAAGACAAGAGAUGGAGAGUCCAGCCGGGCCUGCGCUUAAGUGCGCGGUCUUGCUAGGCUUGUAAGUUUCUUUCUUGCUAUUCCAAACGGUGAGAGAUUUCUGUGCUUUUGUUAUAGGACAAUUAAAACCGUUUCAAUACAACACACUGUGGAGUUUUCAUAUCUUUGCAACUUUUUCUUUGGGCAUUCGAGCAAUCGGGGCCCAGAGGUAACAAACACAAACAAUUUUAUCUAUUCAUUAAAUUUUUGUCAAAAACAAGAAUUUUCGUAACUGGAAAUUUUAAAAUAUUAAAAACUUUCAACAACGGAUCUCUUGGUUCUCGCAUCGAUGAAGAACGCAGCGAAAUGCGAUACGUAAUGUGAAUUGCAGAAUUCCGUGAAUCAUCGAAUCUUUGAACGCACAUUGCGCCCCUUGGUAUUCCAGGGGGCAUGCCUGUUUGAGCGUCAUUUCCUUCUCAAACAUUCUGUUUGGUAGUGAGUGAUACUCUUUGGAGUUAACUUGAAAUUGCUGGCCUUUUCAUUGGAUGUUUUUUUUCCAAAGAGAGGUUUCUCUGCGUGCUUGAGGUAUAAUGCAAGUACGGUCGUUUUAGGUUUUACCAACUGCGGCUAAUCUUUUUUUAUACUGAGCGUAUUGGAACGUUAUCGAUAAGAAGAGAGCGUCUAGGCGAACAAUGUUCUUAAAGUUUGACCUCAAAUCAGGUAGGAGUACCCGCUGAACUUAAGCAUAUCAAUAAGCGGAGGAAA